rnacentral:rRNA from 1 species
UACAGAGGGUGCGAGCGUUAAUCGGAAUUACUGGGCGUAAAGCGCACGUAGUCGGCUUUGCAAGUCGGUUGUGAAAUCCCCGGGCUCAACCUGGGAACUGCAUCCGAGACUGCAUUGCUAGAGUAUGGGAGAGGGAAGCGGAAUUUCUGGUGUAGCAGUGAAAUGCGUAGAGAUCAGGAGUAACACCUGUGGUGUAGACAGCUUACUGGACGAUAACUGACGCUGAGGCACGAAAGCGUGGGUAGCAAACAGG